UACGUAGGGGCCAAGCGUUGUCCGGAUUUAUUGGGCGUAAAGAGCUCGUAGGCGGUCUGUCGCGUCUGCUGUGAAAACUCAGGGCUUAACCCUGAGCUUGCAGUGGGUACGGGCAGACUAGAGUGCGGUAGGGGAGACUGGAAUUCCUGGUGUAGCGGUGAAAUGCGCAGAUAUCAGGAGGAACACCGGUGGCGAAGGCGGGUCUCUGGGCCGUAACUGACGCUGAGGAGCGAAAGCAUGGGGAGCGAACAGG
rnacentral:rRNA from 1 species